rnacentral:rRNA from 1 species
AUUGAACGCUGGCGGCAGGCCUAACACAUGCAAGUCGAGCGAGUGGCGGACGGGUGAGUAAUGUCUGGGAAUCUGCCUGAUGGAGGGGGAUAACUACUGGAAACGGUAGCUAAUACCGCAUACCAUCAGAUGUGCCCAUAUGGGAUUAGCUUGUGGGUGGGGUAACGGCUCACCAAGGCGACGAUCCCUAGCUGGUCUGAGAGGAUGACCAGCAAAACUGGGACUGAGACACGGUCCAGACCCCUACGGGAGGCAGCAGUGGGGAAUAUUGCACAAUGGGCGCAAGCCUGAUGCAGCCAUGCCGCGUGUAUGAAGAAGGCCUUCGGGUUGUAAAGUACUUUCAGCCGGGAGGCGUUACCGGCAGAAGAAGCACCGGCUAACUCCGUGCCAGCAGCCGCGGUAAUAC